rnacentral:rRNA from 1 species
GACAGAGGAUGCAAGCGUUAUCCGGAAUGAUUGGGCGUAAAGCGUCUGUAGGUGGCUUUUUAAGUCCGCCGUCAAAUCCCAGGGCUCAACCCUGGACAGGCGGUGGAAACUACCAAGCUGGAGUACGGUAGGGGCAGAGGGAAUUUCCGGUGGAGCGGUGAAAUGCGUAGAUAUCGGAAGGAACGCCGGUGGCGAAAGCGGCGUGCUGGACCUCUUCUGACGCUGAGGCGCGAAAGCUAGGGGAGCGAACGGG